UGUUUUUCCAGGUGUCUACGAGGACAAAACCAUUCUCUCUGCCCAGCCAAAUGCUGUGGUCCCUUUAGGAGAAAAUAUGACCCUUUAUUGUCACUUGCCAAACACCUGUGACACAUUUCUUCUGCCUAAAAAAGAAAACGUAACCUUAUUUGUAACAUGAAUCUUAGAGGGUCUUAUUAAUAAAAAACUCAGGAGCCAGAUAUUGGGGUGAACGCUGAAAGAUCAGAGAAGCAGAACAAGCCACAGCUGACCUCACCUCAUCAACUCCUCAGCUGAUCCUGUUUCCUCAAACUGGAAGCCUCUGAGUCCUCAUCUAAAUGGAUCUCAGCUGAACUGCUGCUAAAAGCCUAAAAGUUUAAAAAGCUUCUAGUUUCUAUUCUUCAUGCCUUAUAUACCCUUCUGCUUCCUGCCAUCACCUUCUGGGAUUAAAGGCGCGUGUCUUUCUCAAGCAAAGACAUGAGAUCUCAAGUGCUGGGAUUAAAGGCCCACGUGGGGACCUACAGAUGCUUUGGUUCUGUCAAUAGUUCAAGUGGUCGGAUCCCAGUGACCUCCUGGAGGUGAUUGUUGCAGGAGUGUACGAAAAGCCACAGCUUCCAGCUCUGAUCACCUGCUCUGUGACAUCCAUAAGAAGACCAUCCUGCAAUGUCAAUCAGAGAUCGGAUGUGAUAUGUUUUUUCUGUCCCAGGAGGCCAACACAAACUUUACCCAAUGUCUGGAAUCCUACUACAGACUCAGGCUCUUUCAGGCCAACCUUACCAGGGGCUCUGAGUGGAAGGCCCUCAGGAACACCUACAAAUGCUGCAGCCCCUAAGCUCCUUUCCUUUCCUAUGGUCAGACCCUAGAGAGCCCCUGACAUUACAAGAAGAAAGGUGAGGAGUGAAGAUGUUCUUUGUAGGAUCUUGGACGCCCCAUCUAUCAUCUUACAUCCAUCAGUGUCCCUGGUGAUGAAGGGAUGACCCAGAUUCUAUGGGGACAGAGAAAGAAGUACAAUGUGGGGUGCAUAUCAAGGGAUAUCAGUCCUUCAUGGUGGGAAGAGAUUACUAUGUUCAUGAGUCAAGACAAGACCUUCAAGCCCUACUCUAGUAGCCUGUCUGUCAGCUAGGACCUGUCUGUCAGCAUCUUAAGAGUUCUACAACCUCUCACACAAGCACACCAGUUGGGAACCAAGUGUUCAAAUGUAUGAGCCUAUGCUGGGCAUAUCACAUUCAGACCAUAAUAGGGACAGUCUUAGUUAGAUCUGUCAGCUUAACACAGCUUAGCAUUAUCCAAGAAACGAAUUCUAAUAGAAGGGUUGCCCGGAUCAGGUCAGCCUAUAGGCAUGUCUGUGAGGGAUUGUCUUGAUUAAUUGAUGUGGAAGGAUUCAGCCCACUAUGGGUGGUACCAUUCCCUGGACAGGGGCUCUUGGGAUGUAUAAUAAAUCUGAAUAAGCAUGAGCUCACAAGCCAGCAAGCAUAAUUUCUUGUUCCCUUUAGUGAUGGACUACAAUGUGGAAGUGUAAGCCAAGCAAACCAUUUCCUUCCCAACUUGCUUUUGGUUAUGAUGUUUCAUUGCAGCAAUAGAAACCUUAACUAAGGCAGUCUAGCUUCUUCCCAGGAGUUCUCUUUCAUAGAGACUGUAUUUGAUGUCACUGAACUGGAAACUUGUGCGUUAUAUUCACCUCACCAUAAAUUACAUGAAAGAGGAAGCGUUGAUACACAUCUCAUGUGAAGAGCACUUUGCUGCUCAUUCAGAAAACCUGAAUUCAGUUCUAGGCACUCAUAACUGCCUGUUGCUCCAGAUACCUUCUUCUAGUUUCUGCUCAACAUACACACAAAAUAAAAAGAACACUAAAGAGCUCUCUUAGGGAAAUUUAAAUAUACAGUAUAGUAUUGUCAGCUCUUUGGACUUGGCUGGGUAGUUAGAUGGCCACAGGAAUGUCUCUGCAUUGCAUCUGUGUACUACAGAAGUGUUUGUCCUCUGCACCUUCCCUGGUCCUCUCUCUCAUCCUCCACAUUUUCAGAUAUGGUGUCUUCCUGCGCUCUACCCAGAAUAGUCUGUGUGGUGGAUUCCACAUUUGCCUUCCAUGCUGACCAGCUGCAUCUCAUUAUAGCGUCCUCCGUAAGUUUCCUACAUCAAAUAUACAGACACCAGGGGGCAGCAUCACAUGUGAGCAUGUCUUUGUGGCUGAAAGUCAGAAGAGGAAGUGUAAGAGAGGAACUUCUGGUCAUCCCUAGAAAUGUAUUGGCGAACUGAGAGGGCAGAGCCAGGUCUCACGCAAAGAGAAGCUCCUUCUUGUUUUGCAAUGGAUGUCACCAUCUUUAUGGGGGUUCUGGACUCCAGUCUGCUCCAUCCCAUGGGUGUGUCCCCUGCACAGACUGUGUCACCC